CAAUAGCGUAUAUUAAAGUUGUUGCGGUUAAAAAGCUCGUAGUUGGAUUUCUGCUGAGAACGACCGGUCCGCCCUUUGGGUGUGUAUCUGGCUCUUUCUUGGCAUCUUCUUGGUGAACGUUGCUGCACUUGACUGUGUGGAGCGCUACCCAGGACUUUUACUUUGAGGAAAUUAGAGUGUUUCAAGCAGGCAUACGCCUUGAAUACAUUAGCAUGGAAUAAUAAGAUAGGACCUCGGUUCUAUUUUGUUGGUUUCUAGAGCUGAGGUAAUGAUUAAUAGGGAUAGUUGGGGGCAUUCGUAUUUAACUGUCAGAGGUGAAAUUCUUAGAUUUGUUAAAGACGGACUACUGCGAAAGCAUUUGCCAAGGAUGUUUUCAUUG
rnacentral:rRNA from 1 species